GCGUGAAGUCGGAAUCGCUAGUAAUCGUGAAUCAGAAUGUCACGGUGAAUACGUUCCCGGGCCUUGUACACACCGCCCGUCACACCAUGGGAGUGGGUUGCUCCAGAAGUAGCUAGUCUAACCUUCGGGGGGACGGUUACCACGGAGUGAUUCAUGACUGGGGUGAAGUCGUAACAAGGUAGCCGUAGGGGAACCUGCGGCUGGAUCACCUCCUUA
rnacentral:ncRNA from 1 species